AUAUUCCAAGAGGAAACAUGCAUGUGUGACACUGUUCAGGAACACACACCCCCAAAAAUGGUGGGACUUCAUACAGUGAUCCUAAGCUCUGAUCCACAUGGAACACCACUAUUUACCAUUUACCUCAUUCUUAGGCAAACAUUCUUGUUGACACUGAUCUUCGUAUUCCACAAGCCUCGAUUUUUGUUAACCAGCCUUUUAUGUGGAACUUUGUCAAAACACUUUCUUCAUAUGGACAAUUCAUUCCUUUCAUUAACCUUCACUUCAAAACUCCAUUUCGAUUAGACAAGCGCUACCUAUCUUGCUCAAAUCUGUGCUGGUGUUCCCCACUGAACUCGAUCCUCUCCAAGCUGCUGUUGAAUUUAUUGCUGGUUAGUAUUUCUAAAAGCUGAACUGUAACCAAUGUUAAACCAGCUGUCCUGCCAUUGCCAGGAAUAUGCUUACGCUUUUUAUUAAACAAGGAUGGCAGCAUGGUGGCUCAGUGGUUAGCACUGCUGCCUCACAGCACUAGGGGCUCGGGUUUGAUUCCACCCUCGGGUGACUGUCUUGUGUGGAGUUUGCACAUUCUCCCCGUGUCUGUGUGAGUUUCCUCUGGGUGCUCUGGUUUCCUCCCACAGUCCAAAGAUUUGCAGGUUAGGUGGAUUGGCCAUGCUAAACUGCCCGUAGUGUUCAGGGAUAUGUAGCUUAGGUGGGUUAUAAGAGGGAUGGGUCUGGGUGUGAUGCUCCAGGGGUCAGUGUGGUCUUGUUGGGCCGAAGGGCCUGUUUCUACACUGUAGGGAUUCUAUGAUAAUAAAGGAACAUUUUUGGAUAGAAGGGAAAACAGUUAAAAAAUAAUGCUUUUCUUUGUUCUUUAUUGUAACUUAAUACAGACAAUGGCAGUAGAAGUCUAACUUGGGGAAAAAACAGAUCUAGACAAAACCCAGGAUGAGAUCAUGAAACAUCAUGCUAGUAUUAGUGAACUGAAGCGCAGCUUUAUGGAGUCUGUACCUGAACCACGCCCUAGUGAAUGGGAUAAACGUCUCUCAGCACACUCACCUUUUAGAACAUUGAAUAUCAACGGGCAAGUUCAGUCUGGUACAGAAGGAGCCAUGGUGAUUUCAGGCCUACGUCCUGAAAAGAAGCUUGGUGGGCCAGAGAAAUUAAUAGAAGGCCUAUAUGGACAUUUGCGUACCAAUGAAAAACCAACAAUUUUCCAGGCAACCUACUUCCCAUAUGCAACACCUGAGAAGACCAUACGUGAGAGACAGAAACAGACUCCAAAUAAAUCUGCUUUGCUUUCCUCUAGUUCACACCCUCAGGUGCUAUAUAUGUUUUAUUCUUUCAGUAUCUUUACUCUUCCAUGCCUCUUGCUAUCACAAAUUCUCAGCAGCUGGUACUUUGUAAUUACUUAAUUUUUUACCAGUACCAUUCAGUUUUCUGAAAAAUGGCACAGUUCCUAUGAAGGUAGUGUUUCAGUGUCUGAACUGCUCCUUUCUCCCAACCUUGUAAAGGUGUGAGAGGCUUUGCGAGACUGGUCUUUCUCCCCUCAAAUGAAAAGUAAAAUGCUUGCUAAUGGUUAAUGGUUAAAGGCCCUAUUUGAAAAUAUUAUGUUUUGGCAAAUUCAAGUAUCCAUUAACAAUUGGAGUUUUAACAUAUAACUAUCAGUUUGCAACAUUAAUAUGCAUAACUUUACUCAUAAUGUAGCUGUGGGCAAACUUGCAUCCAUGGUCAGUCUGCUUUAUUGUCAGUUUGAACUGUUAAAUAUUGUUUGCAGUGUUGAACGUUGUCUUACAUCUGAAUGGAAUUGACCUCCUAGGAUUUCAGAAAUAUAAUGUCUUUUACAGCGAUUUAAAAAAAAUACUUCCAAAGGCUUCCUAAUAAGGAGCCUUAACACAGAAGUUCUAAACUGUGUAGAUUUCUUGUUGGAUGUUUUCUGAAACAUCUUUCAUAUUGCUUCUCCUCCUUCGGUUUGGUAUUUAUUAAAUCCUCUUGCUUGAUACUGAUAUAUUGCAUUUAUUUGGGUACAGUUUAUGAAGAGGGCCACAAGCUGCGCAAUAUAAAUAUUAGUAAAACAUAGUGUUUGAGGUUAAUUAUGGUAGAUGUUGGCAUGGUUUCAUAAAUUCUUUUUAUUAGGAUAGCAUGUUGCUUCUAUUGCUUUCAUUAAUAUUUUAUCUGUAAAGUGUAUCCUUGGUCUGAAUUUGAAGUUCACACAACAUGCAAAAUGUCAGAAUUUGACCCUCAAGUUACCUAAUAAAUGGAAGUAAAAGAAGGCUAUUCACCACUUCGAAACUGUACUGCUGUUCAAAAAGAAUAUGAUAUGACUGGGGCCUUAAAACCACUUCCCUGUCUGUCCUCCAUAAUCUUUGACUCCCUUAUCAAUCAAAAAUCUUUCUAACUCAACUUUGAAUAUAUUCAAUAACCCCAGCUUCCACUGCUGCCUGGAGAAGAGAAUUCCAAACAUUGAUGACCCUCUGAGAGAAUAAAUUUCUCCUCAUUCCCAACUUAAAUAAGAGAUGCUUUAAUUUGAAGCAGUAUUAUACACGAGAAGACAUUCUCUUAGCAUCAAUCCUGUCAAGUUCCCUCAAGAUCUUGUGUUUCAAUAAAAUCACUUCUCAUUCUUGUAAAUUUCAUUUGAGUAGGAGGCUCCACCUUUCUUCAAAAGUCAAAUCCCUCAUUCCAGGAAUCCGUCAAAUGAACCUUCUCUAAAUUACUUCCAGCGCAAGUAUAUUCAUCAUGCACUUUGACAAGAAGAAUCAAAAGACAAGCUAUUGUUUUAUUUGGAGAGAGACUUCAAAAAAGUGCAGCACAGAGGGAUCUGGUUUUUUUCUGCAAAAUAGGCAGGGGCAGCAAUUCAUUAAGAAGGCAAAAGGAAUUUGGGUCUUUAUUGUUAGAAGUUUGGAUUUUAAAAAUGGUGAAGUCUUGUACAAUUUUGUUUCCUGUGUUUAAAAAGAGAUAUACUGGCAUUGAGUUCAAAAGUGAUUCUGUUGGCUGAUUCCUGUGAUGAAAGGGUUGACUUAUCAGGAACAGUUAAACGUGCCAGGCCUUUAUUCAUGAGAGUUCAGAAGUGUGAGGGACGAUCUUAACAAAACAUACAAGAGAUCUUAUGGAGGUUAGAUCGCUUAAAAUGUUUAAAGAGGUAGAUAGAUUUUUGAAAUCUCAAAGAAUUGUGAGCAUUGAGGAACUGACAUGAAAGAUGAGUUGAGGCUGAAUGGCCUAAUCCUGCAGCAAUUGCUUAUAUUCCUUAAGCAAAGUAUACUCAGUACUUGGUGUGAUCUUAAUGUCUUGUACAGUUGUUCAAAACGUCCUUACUUUAUUCAUCUUGCAAUAAAGGCCAACAUGCUGUUUAAGACCAAAAGCCAUUUAGCUACUCGAGUCUGCUCUAGUAUUCAAUGAGAUCAUGGCUGAUCUAAUAAUCCUCAACUUUUCUGCCUAUCCUCAUAACCCUUUAUUCCCUUACUUAUUAAGGCCGAGAUGGAUUUUUAAUGACCCAACUUCAACAGCCCUAUGUGGAGAAGAAUCUCACAGCCUCAACCCUCAAAGAAUUUCCUCCUGAUUUGUGUCUUAAAUUUAUGACCACUUUUAUUCUGAAAUUACACAGUUUAGUCUUAGGCUACCCCACAAGGGUAAGCAACCUUUCCGCAUCUACCAUGUAAAGAUCCUUAAGAAUAUUGUAUGUCUCAGUGAUUGGUCACCUCUCAUUCUUUUAUUUACUAAUGAGUACAGGCCCAGUCUACUCACUGUUUCGUCAUUAGACAGUCCCUCGAUACCUGGGAGCAGCUUCAGGAACCUUCUCUGCUCUGCCUCUAAUGCCAGUGUACCCUGCCUUAAAUAAGGGACCCAAAACUAUCUCAUUACUCCAGCUGUGGUCUGACUAA